rnacentral:rRNA from 1 species
GACGUAGGGCGCGAGCGUUGUCCGGAUUUAUUGGGCGUAAAGAGCUCGUAGGCGGUUUGUCGCGUCGGCUGUGAAAUCCCGUGGCUCAACUGCGGGUCUGCAGCCGAUACGGGCAGGCUAGAGUUCGGUAGGGGAGACUGGAAUUCCUGGUGUAGCGGUGAAAUGCGCAGAUAUCAGGAGGAACACCGGUGGCGAAGGCGGGUCUCUGGGCCGAUACUGACGCUGAGGAGCGAAAGCGUGGGGAGCGAACAGG